rfam:Gossypium hirsutum cultivar TM-1 chromosome 23, whole genome shotgun sequence
AACCCAUGGUGAGGACACAUUCUCAAUAAAUCCUUAUACCUCUCUCAUGCAUCGUAUAGGGUCUUUAAGUCCAUUUGCACAAAGGAGGAGAUAUCAUUCCUCAACUU